rnacentral:rRNA from 1 species
UUAAAAAGCUCGUAGUUGGAUUUCUGGUGGGAGCGGCCGGUCCGCCGUAAGGUGUGUGCUUGGUUGUCUCCUGUCAUCCUUGUGGGAACUGCUCUGGCAUUAAGUUGUCGGGGUUAGGGAACACAUCGUUUACUGUGAAAAAAUUAGAGUGUUUAAAGCAGGCUUAUGCCGCUGAAUACAUUAGCAUGGAAUAAUAAGAUAGGACUUUGGCGUCUAUUUUGUUGGUUUGCACACCAAGGUAAUGAUUAAUAGGGAUAGUUGGGGGUAUUCGUAUUUAAUUGUCAGAGGUGAAAUUCUUGGAUUUAUGAAAGACGAACUUCUGCGAAAGCAUUUACCAAAGAUGUUUUCAUUAAUCAAGAACGAAAGUUAGGGGAUCGAAGAUGAUUAGAUACCAUCGUAGUCUUAACCAUAAACUAUGCCGACUAGGGAUUGGCGGUCGUUCAUUUAUGACUCCGUCAGCACCUUAUGAGAAGUCAAAGUCUUUGGGUUCCGGGGGGAGUAUGGUCGCAAGGCUGAAACUUAAAGGAAUUGACGGAAGGGCACCACCAGGAGUGGAGCCUGCGGCUUAAUUUGACUCAACACGGGGGAAACUUACCAGGUCCAGACAUA